rnacentral:rRNA from 1 species
AUUGAACGCUGGCGGCAUGCCUUACACAUGCAAGUCGAACGGCAGCACGGGUGCUUGCACCUGGUGGCGAGUGGCGAACGGGUGAGUAAUACAUCGGAACAUGUCCUGUAGUGGGGGAUAGCCCGGCGAAAGCCGGAUUAAUACCGCAUACGAUCUACGGAUGAAAGCGGGGGACCUUCGGGCCUCGCGCUAUAGGGUUGGCCGAUGGCUGAUUAGCUAGUUGGUGGGGUAAAGGCCUACCAAGGCGACGAUCAGUAGCUGGUCUGAGAGGACGACCAGCCACACUGGGACUGAGACACGGCCCAGACUCCUACGGGAGGCAGCAGUGGGGAAUUUUGGACAAUGGGCGAAAGCCUGAUCCAGCAAUGCCGCGUGUGUGAAGAAGGCCUUCGGGUUGUAAAGCACUUUUGUCCGGAAAGAAAUCCUGGGACCUAAUACGGUCGGGGGAUGACGGUACCGGAAGAAUAAGCACCGGCUAACUACGUG